GCGCCCGUAGCUCAGCUGGAUAGAGCGUUGCCCUCCGGAGGCAGAGGUCAGAGGUUCGAAUCCUCUCGGGCGCGCCA
rnacentral:tRNA from 3 species